GUAUUAAGCACUAAAAAGCAAAGGCAAGCCCUUGUACCUUCGGCAUAAUGCAUUCACUAGAACCAACUUCACAUGGAGAACUCUAGUUAAGUCCCCCAAAACCAGACGAGCUACCCAAGAACAGCUGAAAGAGUACUCACCUGCAUGGCAAAACAGUGAGAAGAUUCACGUGUAGCAUUAACAAGCCUAUCAAGCCUGGUGAUAGCUAGUUGUCCAAGAGAGAAUCUUAGUUCAACUUUAAACUUCCACAGAACUAUUUAAUCUGCCUAUAAGUUUAAACUGUUAAAGAGGGACAGCUCUUUAGACUCUAGGAAACAAUCUUCCCCCAGAGAGUAAAAAAUGCCAUCACUACAGUUGGCCCAAAGCAGCCCAGAGUUCAACAUCUAGCUAUCUUUAAUCUAAUCACCCUAACUCCUAACAUCACAUUGGACUAAUCUAUUACUCAAUAGAUAGAAGCAAUAGUGUUAAUAUAAGUAACACAAAAACAUUCUCUAUUGCAUAAGCUUACAUCAGACUGGAAUAACCCACUGACAGUUAACAGGCCAAUAUUAAUAAAUGAUUUAAUAAACAUCUUAUUACCUUCACUGUUAACACAGGCAUGCUCUAAGGAAAGAUUACAAAAAGUAAAAGCAACCUGGCAAAUCUUACCCCACCUGUUUACCAAAAACAUCACCUCUAGCAUUACUGGUAUUAGAGGGACUGCCUGCCCAGUGACAAAUGUUUAAUGGCCACAGUACCUGACCAUGCAAAGGUAACAUAAUCACCUGUUCCCUUAAUAGAGACUUGUAUAAAUGGCCACACAAGGGUUCAGCUCUCUCUUACUUUCCAUCAGUGAAACUGACCCAUCCAUGAAGAGGCAGAUAUAAAUAAAUGAGAAGACCCUAUGAAGCAUUAAUAAUUAAUGCAAAUAAAAACUCAAACCUACAGGCCCUAGCAUAUUAUCCCUGCAUUAAAAUUUUUGGUUGGGGAGACCUCAGAGCAUAAUUCAAAUGACCUAAACUAAAACUGUACUAGUUAAGUGAGCUAUUAUUUAUUGACACAAUAAUUUGAUCACUAGGAAUAACAGUGCAAUCCUAUUCUAGAGACCAUAUCAACAAAAGAGUGUACGACCUCAAUGUUGGAUCAGGACAUCCUAAUGAUGUAGCCGCUAUUAAUGGCUCAUUUGUUCAACGAUUAAAGUCCUACUUGAUCUGAGUUCAGAUAGGGGUAAUCCAGGUUGGUUUCUAUCUAUUUAGCAUUCUCUUAGUACGA
rnacentral:rRNA from 1 species